rnacentral:rRNA from 1 species
UACGGAGGGGGCAAGCGUUGUUCGGAAUUACUGGGCGUAAAGGGCGCGCAGGCGGCUGCUCAAGUCAGGCGUGAAAGGCCUGGGCUCAACCCGGGAAUUGCGCUUGAGACUGGGCUGGCUUGAGUGCGGGAGAGGAUGGUGGAAUUCCCAGUGUAGAGGUGAAAUUCGUAGAUAUUGGGAAGAACACCGGUGGCGAAGGCGGCCAUCUGGACCGCAACUGACGCUAAGGCGCGAAGGCCAGGGGAGCAAACGGG